GCCUGGGUGGCUCAGUUGGUUGGGCGCCCGACUUCAACUCAGGUCAUGAUCUCACAGCUCGUGAGUUCAAGCCCUGCAUCAGGCU
rnacentral:tRNA from 1 species